rnacentral:rRNA from 1 species
GCGGUGGAGCAUGUGGUUUAAUUCGAAGCAACGCGCAGAACCUUACCAGCCCUUGACAUACCGGUCGCGGACACAGAGAUGUGUCUUUCAGUUCGGCUGGACCGGAUACAGGUGCUGCAUGGCUGUCGUCAGCUCGUGUCGUGAGAUGUUGGGUUAAGUCCCGCAACGAGCGCAACCCUCGCCCUUAGUUGCCAGCAUUUAGUUGGGCACUCUAAGGGGACUGCCGGUGAUAAGCCGAGAGGAAGGUGGGGAUGACGUCAAGUCCUCAUGGCCCUUACGGGCUGGGCUACACACGUGCUACAAUGGUGGUGACAGUGGGCAGCGAGCACGCGAGUGUGAGCUAAUCUCCAAAAGCCAUCUCAGUUCGGAUUGCACUCUGCAACUCGACUUCAUGAAGCUGGAAUCGCUAGUAAUCGUGGAUCAGCCAAGCCGCGGUGAAUACGUUCCCGGGCCUU